rnacentral:rRNA from 1 species
AGAGUUUGAUUAUGGCUCAGAACGAACGCUGGCGGUACGCUUAACACAUGCAAGUCGAACGGCAUCAGGCCCGCAAGGGUGCUGGCGAGUGGCGAACGGGUGAGUAACACGUGGAUGACCUACCUUGAGGUGGGGGACAACAGCUAGAAAUGGCUGCUAAUACCGCAUAUCUCCUAAGGGAUAAAGGCGCAAGUCGCCUUAAGAUGGGUCCGCGUUGGAUUAGCUAGUUGGUGAGGUAAUGGCCCACCAAGGCGACGAUCCAUAGCUGGUCUGAGAGGAUGAUCAGCCACACUGGAACUGAGACACGGUCCAGACUCCUACGGGAGGCAGCAGUGGGGAAUAUUGCGCAAUGGGGGAAACCCUGACGCAGCGAUACCGCGUGGGUGAAGAAGGUCUUAGGAUUGUAAAGCCCUUUCAGUGGGAACGAUUGUGACGGUACCCACAGAAGAAGCACCGGCCAACUCCGUGCCAGCAGCCGCGGUAAUACGGAGGGUGCAAGCGUUGUUCGGAAUUACUGGGCGUAAAGGGCACGUAGGCGGUCAGAUAAGUCAGGAGUGAAAUGCAAAGGCUCAACCUUUGGACUGCUCUUGAAACUGUUUGAC